CAAUAGCGUAUAUUAAAGUUGUUGCGGUUAAAAAGCUCGUAGUUGGAUCUCGGCAGGCAGGGGGUGGUUCGCUCUUAGCGCUACUGCCCCAUUUGCCUGUGUGAUUGGCGGAGGUUUCGGGGUGCUCUUCGUUGAGUGACCCGGGGCGCCGUCAGGUUUACUUUGAAAAAAUUAGAGUGCUCAAAGCAGGCUUUUCACGCUUGAAUAUUCGUGCGUGGAAUAAUGGAAUAGGAACUCGUUUCUAUUUUGUUGGUUUUCGGAAAUCGAGUUAAUGAUUAAUAGGGACAAUUGGGGGCAUUAGUAUUCAGACGACAGAGGUGAAAUUCUUGGACCGUCUGAAGACUAACUACUGCGAAAGCAUUUGCCAAGAGUGUUUUCAUUAA
rnacentral:rRNA from 1 species